ensembl:antisense Gm38251 predicted gene, 38251
AGAGUCCAGCUUUGGGAGACAGCGUGGUAGACGACUCUGGAUUCUAUCAGAGCAAGCACUGACUGCACAGACACUAAAUGUUUGGGGCAGCAUGACAACGCUGUGAGCAUCUUCACACAGUAUGAGUCCCUACACACAGCAGAACAGAACAGUCAACACUUUCUCUUGUUCAGAACCAAAUCAAGGUCAGAGAUGCACUGCUGAUUGCUAGUUCCUCGGAGGAUGGAGUGAUUUUGUCAGACAGGAAUAACUUUGACACAAAGAGCCAUUUUUUGUGUUGUGUAAUACAAUCAAAAAUGAAAAUAGAGGCUGACGAGACAGCUCAGUGGUUACACGUGCUGCCUGCUCUUCUGGAAGAUCUGGGUUUGACUCCUGGCAUCACAUGGCCACUCACAACCACUGUAACUCUAGUUCCAGGGGAUCCAGUGCCCUCUUCUAGCCUGUGGGCACUGCAUGCAUGUGGUGCAUAAGCAUACAUGCAGGCAAACACACCCAUGUACACAGAAUCAUACAAUUAAAAACUAAAGUGUAAGUAGAUAAGCAAUCAUAGGUGACAUGAGUGUCAGCAGAGACAGACGUAUGCAGAAGACUCAAGUGAGGAAACCUCUACCAUCUGAUAAACUACUGGGCCCGCUUUCAGAAAGGACAUUGCUGAGGAGAUGAAAAUCCUACAGUUGAAGCAUAUCAGUCAUGAACAAAGUUGUCCCGCUGAUCUGCUGCUCACCCGGCAUCACAGAGAGCUCAAAAGAACCCCAGAGGUCAUUUAUGUGGGUCACAACAUUCUCCAAAACCCACAUAAGUGACUGUGAGAUGAUUCUUAUACUAUACAGAGGGAAGAACUGAAAUCCUUUCUAGACUGUGACACUCAUCAGAUUAGACUCUGAUUACUUACAACAAGUGACAGAGGUAUGCUGUUGAAAACAGUUAAGACACAUUUCCAAAGACCAGACUACUUUACAGAACUUCAUAUUUGAGAGGUUUUAAACAGUCGGUACUCAUAUUUAGAUUCCUUUAUCUAUCGGGGAUGUUGAGAAAGGAAGAGGAUAUUCCUAUAAACAGAAGAAAAUGAACGGAAUAAACCGGCUUACAGGCAGCCUGAGCCAGAGUAAAAUUCAGUCAAAUGCUUCUAAUGAUGAGACCAAGACGAGGCUGAGGCUGCGUCCCAUCGUCCCCUCUGUUUAACAGCAAUGUCCACAGCAUGGAGUCAUACUGACUAUUUUUGCCUGUAGGAUUUAACCAGCAAAUGGCUUGCUCUUUGCACUCUGAACUUGAGCUACGACUGACUGGGAGAUGUGCUGAUGUGAUGGGUAAGGACAAAUCUAAAUGUUCUAUAAACAGAGCCAGGCAAACCAUGAACUGGGCAUUUUUAAAAAUACUUUCACGGAGAGUAAAUCUAUGAACAGGAUUAGAAGAUACAAGCGGCAUCGUUUGUGUUUAGAAAAGCAACACUUUAGGCAAAGAUUAAGAGGCUCUUCACAGAUAUUUUCAUCAACAAGCAAAUCUUUAGUUAUUUAGACAAAUAUGGCAAUGAUCAGCUUCAUGGUCAAAUAUUCCACCUAGUGAAGUUAAUGUUAGAUGACCUUUCCUGGCUCUGCUGGGAAAGACCAAGUUUGGUGCCACAUUACUGGGUGACGGGGCAGAAGUUCCAAAUGUCAGUUGAGAUCACUCCAUUGUAAUCCAUGGUGUGGUCCAAGAAAAGUACAAAGUAUGUGUUGGAGGUGGGCAAGGAUCUGAAUGCAGUCUGGCAGCUGGUGUGUUCCAGCGUCCCUGGCACAUGAGCAACUUCAGGUGAUUCACCGGUCCAGAGAGAGAACCUUUUGUCAGUCACACCAUUGAUCCAGGUUGGCUGAAAGCUGCUGUUACGAGAAGAGCCAUUCCCCAGAGACUAGAGCAUGUCAGCACUGUAUCAGCUCACAGUCCCAGAAAAAGAGCCCAGUCAACCCGAGUCCUCACUAAACAGAUGCGUCACACUCUGCAGUUUCAUUGGCUGGCAAGUUUAAAAGGAACCCAAAUACUGAAGAGACAGCUCUCUACAGAGAAAUGCAUAAAAACACAGAGCUGCCUGGCACUGAGACCAAUGGAAAGAAGGUUCUGAUUCACAAAUGCAAAGUUCCAGUCCUACACUGGAAUCAUGGAAGUUGUAGGUAAACAUAGCAGAUUGAGAAUUUCUUGUAAGAUUUCUCUUAGGGAUCAAAGUUACCUAUGUAACACAUCUGUAAUCAGAUCCUAUUAUACGCUACUGAAAUCUCGAUGGAUAUUAUUUCACCAUAAGGAAACUAUAUACAAAUCAUACACUAAAACAGUUGCCUCGUUUUUUAAAAAAUAUUUUUUAAGAUUUAUUUUAUUUAUGCGAGCACACUGUUGCUGUCUUCAGACACACCAGAAGAGGGCAUCAAAUCUGAUUACAGAUGAUUGUGAGCCACCAUGUGGUUGCUGGGAAUUGAACUUAGGACCUCUGGAAGAGCAAUCGGUGCUCUUAACCACUGAGCCCCUGCCUCGUUUUUAAAAUGCUUAAAGUUUAUAUCUGAGAAGGUUUCCCAUUGAAGUAAUAAAUAAAAUGAGCAGCUCUGGCUACCAGACGAUCCC